AAAAAAGAAUCUUUGACUUUCGAGUCGAGGGAAAUGGGUAUUCCGCAUUUUUAGCGGUAGCCUGAAAUGUAUGGUUGGUCUCAUCUAGUCGAGAUGCGUAAUAAUAAUUAUUUCGUAAAAUCUUUGAUGUGACGAGCUACCAAGUCUUGACGUGUACGCUUUAUUGUUGUAUGCGAUCAAUACAAAUAUUUUUG
rnacentral:misc_RNA from 1 species